UAACACGGGGGGCGCAAGCGUUACUCGGAAUUAUUGGGCGUAAAGGGCGCGCAGGCGGUCUUGUCAGUCAGGUGUGAAAGCCCGGGGCUCAACCCUGGAAGUGCACUUGAAACAGCAAGACUUGAAUACGGGAGAGGAGAGAGGAAUUCCUGGUGUAGAGGUGAAAUUCGUAGAUAUCAGGAGGAACACCGAUGGCGAAGGCAUCUCUCUGGACCGAUAUUGACGCUGAGGCGCGAAGGCGUGGGUAGCGAACGGGAUUAGAUACCCCGGUAGUCCACGCAGUAAACGUUGUACACUCGGUGUAGCGGAUAUUAAAAUCUGCUGUGCCCAAGCUAACGCAUUAAGUGUACCGCCUGGGAAGUACGGUCGCAAGACUA
rnacentral:rRNA from 1 species